GCGUCUGCCAACAGAAAGACUACUGUUAGAUUUCAAGAUCUCAAGCAAAGAAGAUAUAAACUUCCACUUAUGAUCGGAAUUUUUCUUUUAGUGCUUCAGCAGGCAACUGGAGUCAAUGGGAUCCUAUUCUAUGCGGGCACUAUUUUUAAAGCUGCUGGGCUUUCGGCGAGUGGGUUAGCCACAUGUGGGCUUGGGGCUAUUCAGGUAGUUGCAACUGGAGUUACAACGUGGUUGCUGGAUAA
rnacentral:misc_RNA from 1 species